CCUACGGGAGGCAGCAGUAGGGAAUAUUGCUCAAUGGGGGAAACCCUGAAGCAGCAACGCCGCGUGGAGGAUGAAGGUUUUAGGAUUGUAAACUCCUUUUGUUAGAGAAGAGCAUGACGGUAUCUAACCAAUAAUCACCGGCCAACUCCGUGCCAGCAGCCGCGGCAAUACGGAGGGGGCAAGCGUUACUCGGAAUCACUGGGCGUAAAGGGUGCGUAGGCGGGGUAAUAAGUCAGAUGUGAAAUCCUGUAGCUUAACUGCAGAACUGCAUUUGAAACUGUUACUCUGGAGUGUGGGAGAGGUAGGUGGAAUUCUUGGUGUAGGGGUGAAAUCCGUAGAGAUCAAGAGGAAUACUCAUUGCGAAGGCGACCUGCUGGAACAUAACUGACGCUGAUGCACGAAAGCGUGGGGAGCAAACAGGAUUAGAUACCCGUGUAGUC
rnacentral:rRNA from 1 species